rnacentral:rRNA from 1 species
UACGUAGGGGGCUAGCGUUGUCCGGAAUCAUUGGGCGUAAAGCGCGUGUAGGCGGCCCGGUACGUCCGCUGUGAAAGUCGGGGGCUCAACCCUCGGAAGCCGGUGGAUACUGUCGGGCUCGAGUACGGAAGAGGCGAGUGGAAUUCCUGGUGUAGCGGUGAAAUGCGCAGAUAUCAGGAGGAACACCAAUUGCGAAGGCAGCUCGCUGGGACGUAACUGACGCUGAGACGCGAAAGCGUGGGGAGCAAACAGG